rnacentral:rRNA from 1 species
CACGUGGGGGGCGAGCGUUGUUCGGAAUUAUUGGGCGUAAAGGGUGCGUAGGCGGUUCCGCAAGUCCUGUGUGAAAUCUUCGGGCUCAACUCGAAGUCUGCACGGGAAACUGCGGGGCUUGAGUGUGGGAGAGGUGAGUGGAACUCCCGGUGUAGCGGUGAAAUGCGUAGAUAUCGGGAGGAACACCUGUGGCGAAAGCGGCUCACUGGACCAUAACUGACGCUGAUGCACGAAAGCUAGGGGAGCAAACAGG